rnacentral:rRNA from 1 species
UACGUAGGGCGCGAGCGUUGUCCGGAAUUAUUGGGCGUAAAGAGCUCGUAGGCGGCCUGUUGCGUCCGCUGUGAAAUCCCGGGGCUCAACCCUGGGCGUGCAGUGGAUACGGGCAGGCUGGAGGCAGGCAGGGGAGAACGGAAUUCCCGGUGUAGCGGUGAAAUGCGCAGAUAUCGGGAGGAACACCGGUGGCGAAGGCGGUUCUCUGGGCCUGUGCUGACGCUGAGGAGGCGAAAGCGUGGGGAGCGAACAGGAUUAGAAACCCCCUGGUAGU